rnacentral:tRNA from 1 species
GCAGCUGUAGUUUAAUGGUAGAACUUCAGCCUUCCAAGCUGAUCGCGUGGGUUCGAUUCCCAUCAGCUGCUCCA